rnacentral:rRNA from 1 species
UGCACAAAGCUUUCGCUCAGAGGCGAAAUCUUGGUGCGCAAACACGAUUAGAUCCCCUGGUAUUCCACAGAGUUAUCGAUGUCUACUCGGAGGUUGUGCCCUUGAGGCGUGCCUUCCGGAGCUACCGCGUUAAGUCGUCCGCAUGGGGAGUCCGGCUGCAAGGUUAAAACUCAAAUGAAUUGACGGGGGCCCGCACAAGCGGUGGAGCAUGUGGUUUAAUUCGAUGCACCGCGAAGACCCUUACCUACUCUUGACAUCCAGAGAACUUAGCAGAGAUGCUUUUGUGCCUUCGGGAACUCUGAGACAGGUGCUGCAUGGCUGUCGUCAGCUCGUGUUGUGAAAUGUUGGGUUAAGUCCCGCAACGAGCGCAACCCUUAUCCUUUGUUGCCAGCGGUUCGGCCGGGAACUCAAAGGAGACUGCCAGUGAUAAACUGGAGGAAGGGGGGGAUGUCUCAAAGUCAUCAUGGCCCUUACGAGUAGGGCUACACACGUGCUACAAUGGCGCAUACAAAGAGAAGCGACCUCGCGAGAGCAAGCGGACCUCAUAAAGUGCGUCGUAGUCCGGAUUGGAGUCUGC